rnacentral:tRNA from 1 species
AGUGUCAAGGGAUGGGAAUCGAACCCAAGACCUUCCGCUUACCCGGGCAGAUGCCAUGACCACUAGGCCACAUGACC